rnacentral:rRNA from 1 species
CGUAACGCGUGGGUAACCUGCCUUUGAGUGGGGAAUAACAAUCGGAAACGAUUGCUAAUACCGCAUAAUGCAGCGGCACCGCAAGGUGACAGUUGUUAAAGGAGCAAUCCGCUUAAAGAGGAGCUUGCGGCAGAUUAGCUAGUUGGUAAGGUAAUGGCUUACCAAGGCUACGAUCUGUAUCCGGUCUAAGAGGACGGUCGGACACACUGACACUGAAUAACGGGUCAG